rnacentral:rRNA from 1 species
UACGGAGGGUGCGAGCGUUAAUCGGAAUUACUGGGCGUAAAGCGCACGCAGGCGGUUGAUUGAGUCAGAUGUGAAAUCCCCGGGCUUAACUUGGGAAUUGCAUCCGAAACUGGUUGGCUAGAGUCUUGUAGAGGGGGGUAGAAUUCCAUGUGUAGCGGUGAAAUGCGUAGAGAUGUGGAGGAAUACCGGUGGCGAAGGCGGCCCCUUGGACAAAGACUGACGCUCAGGUGCGAAAGCGUGGGGAGCAAACAGG